AGAGCGAACGCUGGCGGCAGGCUUAACACAUGCAAGUCGAGCGGGCGUAGCAAUACGUCAGCGGCAGACGGGUGAGUAACGCGUGGGAACAUACCUUUUGGUUCGGAACAACACAGGGAAACUUGUGCUAAUACCGGAUAAGCCCUUACGGGGAAAGAUUUAUCGCCGAAAGAUUGGCCCGCGUCUGAUUAGCUAGUUGGUGAGGUAACGGCUCACCAAGGCGACGAUCAGUAGCUGGUCUGAGAGGAUGAUCAGCCACAUUGGGACUGAGACACGGCCCAAACUCCUACGGGAGGCAGCAGUGGGAAUAUUGGACAAUGGGCGCAAGCCUGAUCCAGCCAUGCCGCGUGAGUGAUGAAGGCCCUAGGGUUGUAAAGCUCUUUUGUGCGGGAAGAUAAUGACGGUACCGCAAGAAUAACGCCCGGCUAACGUUCGCGCCAGCAGCCGC
rnacentral:rRNA from 1 species